AAAGUUGUUGCAGUUAAAAAGCUCGUAGUUGGACUUUGGUUCUAUUUUGUUGGUUUCUGGAACCGAAGUAAUGAUUAAGAGGGACAGUUGGGGGCAUUCGUAUUUCGUUGUCAGAGGUGAAAUUCUUGGAUUUACGAAAAACGAACUACUGCGAAAGCAUUUGCCAAGAAUGUUUUCAUUAAUCAAGAACGAAAGUUAGAGGAUCGAAGACGAUCAGAUACCGUCCUAGUUCUAACCAUAAACGAUGCCGACUAGGGAUCAGAGAGUGUUAUUGGAUGACCUCUUUGGCACCUUAUGGGAAACCAAAGUUUUUGGGUUCCG
rnacentral:rRNA from 1 species